CCUUAAUUUUGUUAAACAGUACCAUGCUCCAUUUUGGAAAUUCAGGUCUCCUUCUCUCCUGGGAGAGGCACUCAGACAGGUUCAGUAACACCUGCAAUCCAUCUGAAGUGGUAAAAUGUGUUAAUUGCUUAUCCCGAAACACCUGUGGGAGAAGGAAUCUAAUACAAAGCCAAAAGCAGUAUGUUUCCUUAUCCACUUCAUUUAAAAAAAAAAAAACUGAAAUAGAAAAUCCACAGGAGGCAAUAAUUACUUACCCAGUAUAACAGUGCAUUUGUAUUUGCUAAAAUUAGGCAGUG